UACGUAGGUGGCAAGCGUUAUCCGGAAUUCUUGGGCGUAAAGCGCGCGCAGGUGGUUUCUUAAGUCUGAUGUGAAAGCCCACGGCUCAACCGUGGAGGGUCAUUGGAAACUGGGAGACUUGAGUGCAGAAGAGGAAAGUGGAAUUCCAUGUGUAGCGGUGAAAUGCGUAGAGAUAUGGAGGAACACCAGUGGCGAAGGCGACUUUCUGGUCUGUAACUGACACUGAGGCGCGAAAGCGUGGGGAGCAAACAGG
rnacentral:rRNA from 1 species